GAGGAGUAGAUGGGACAAAAUCGUGACCUGUCGAUCGCGUGCGGCCCGUAGGGCGGCGUCGUCGGGGAAAACGGACAAUACCUUGCGACGGUGGAGAGGAAAAGGUGUCCGUAAUCUUAACACGUGUGCACAACAAGGAAGAAUACACUCUGUUUGUUAUCUACAUUUAUGGGAAUUAUUUCUUCGAAAAUCAUGUAUGUUAGAAAUAGACAAUACCAUCAAAAGAAAGA
rnacentral:lncRNA from 1 species